rnacentral:rRNA from 1 species
GAUGAACGCUAGCGGCAGGCUUAAUACAUGCAAGUCGAGGGGCAGCGGGGGUAGCAAUACCUGCCGGCGACCGGCAAACGGGUGCGGAACACGUACAGAACCUUCCUUUAAGUGGGGGGAUAGCCCGGAGAAAUCCGGAUUAAUACCCCGUAACAUUAUUGAGGUGGCAUCACCUUAUAAUUAUAGAUUUUAUCGCUUAGAGAUGGCUGUGCGGCUGAUUAGGUAGUUGGUGAGGGGUAACGGCCCACCAAGCCAGCGAUCAGUAACUGGUGUGAGAGCACGACCAGUCACACGGGCACUGAGACACGGGCCCGACUCCUACGGGAGGCAGCAGUAAGGAAUAUUGGUCAAUGGACGCAAGUCUGAACCAGCCAUGCCGCGUGAAGGAUGGAAGG